CUGCCACGCUCCUCUAAAACGGCUCGUUCUAACACGCCCCCACAUCUCUACAUCACUAUGUGGAAAUAUUUGCGGAAUGCCACCCAAAUGUUCACACAAAGAAAGAAGGCGUGGUUUCAGUAACUGCAGUUAGUGGUGAAGCAGCCAUGUCAGGGAGAUGCUGUGUGUGUCUAGGCGAAAGUAAAAGCACUUUAUUUGGCCUUCUGAAAGUAGAUGCAUUUAGGAAUCUUAAAGAUUACUUACGACAGAACAGCAACGCAUUUGAUGGACGACCGUUUCGUGAACAUAGGAGAGGAGGUAAUUCUGACUUUGCUACGACAGUCUGGCGCUUCUGAAUCAGCUACUAAAGAUGUUGAAGAUAACAAGGAGGAUCAGCAUCCACAGGUUUCUGUAGGCCAUGUGCAAUCCAGCCCAAAGACAGACCAGAGUCACCAGAGCAAACAGAUACAACAUCAAGGGCACCUCUGAGGAACAAACAGAAAGACACUUCAAUUGGGCUUGUAAGAUCAAAUAAGCUCAUUGGGAAAAUAAAUAAAUGUUUCCUAACAUGCAACAUUUGAAGUUAAUAUAUUUCUAGAAAAAUCACAAGAGCUUUGCUCAUCAGUUUUCAGAUGCAUGGAUGCUGACUGUGCUGUUUUAUCUGUGCUGCAUGCACCGAUGCCAGCAGACAUGGGUGCUGUUUUCAGUUACAGAGCGAGCUGGCCAGGCAUGCUUCAGUUUUUCCAUAGUUCAGACAAGCUUUUCACAUGCAGCUAGAGCUCUCUGAACUGCGCUCGCUCUGGCAUGAGAGCCGUGUGGGCACGUUUAUUGACCUGGGGCAGGAGUCCAAGAUGGCUGCCAGUGAAAACAAACAAAGCAAAACAACAAAGGAAGGAGAAUAAAAUGAGCUGUCUCAUUAAGCAGGUCACAGUCCAGAGACUGUUCUGGGGUAAAUGAGGGCAGCCGUGAGUACAAAGUACUUGGCCCAUGAGUGUUCUUCAUGUGGGCAAACAAUGCCUCUCAGUGCCAAGACUGACUCAAGCAUAUUGGCACAAGGACUUUAACCAGACUGAGUGUUUUACUUUUAACAACGAUUGUGAGUUUAAUUGCUAAAAGAUUCACUCAGAGGGAGGGAAGAAAAAUAUGUGUUGCAAACACGCUAGUUCAAAACCUGACAUUCUAGCAUCAACAUUAAUAUAGAGAGUCAAGUCAUGGCAUUAUGAACAUAAGCACUAGGGUUUUGAAUUUUGAGGGGUUUUUUUGGAUUUGAAUACUCAACAGAUAAAGUACUCAUAAACCCAUUUAUGCAAAUAAGCAAUGACACAAUACAGCAACUACCAGUAGAAAUUGUGUAACCAGAAUCAUAACAAAACAUUACAUAUGGUUGGACCAAAUAAAGGUCAAAUAAAAUAAAUAAAUAAAAAAUUCUCAGUAUUAACUAGUUGCUUAUUAGCAUGCCUGUUAUUAACAUAUUGGCUGUUUAUUAGUGCUUAUAAAGCACAUAUUCUGCAUGACAAUAUUUAAUAUCCCUAAACUUACCCAAUACCUAAGUUUAACAACAUUACUAACUAUUCAUUAGCAGCAAAUUAGCAGUUUAUUGAGGCAAAAGUCAUAGUUAAUGGUUUGUUUAAAGCAAGAAUUGGUUCUUUAAAUAAAGUGAAACCAAAAAUUACAAAUAUCUCAAUCAGUUUAAAACAAAUUUAAGAGAUUUUGACAUGCAGUUUUGUGUUUUCAUGACAAAUCUUUAUUUGCCACCCAUUCCCUAAUGAUUCUUUUCACUUCUCAUAUUUUACCUUUUGGCUCUAUAUACACCUCUCCUUCACCAGCAAUGCAUUUGUGAUUUCUAUGUUGGCCAAAGUACACAACCAGGCAAAGCUGUGGCUGAUAAUUAGCAAGGGAGAGGCAGUCUGUGUCAUUGUUUCUCUCAGCAGGCCUUAUUUGCAUCCACUCACCUCCCCGACCUCGUGAGAACCCUGUUUUUUAAUUCAUAUAUUUAAUGAGGGAACAAACAAGUACGGCUCCAAAAUGGAGAACUGGCUGACUCAUCCAUCAUGCUCUCCUUUCACGAUAUAAACAUGGACGUGAGCUCAGCCCGGCACUUCGAGGGCUCCAAACAAUGGCAGAAGACCUGUAUUCUCUUUUCUUUUAAUAAAAUGCAUUCAGUGCUUAUUUGAUUUACAACUCGUGCAUCCGUUCACUUAGGAAAUUGAGUGAACAAAUGGAAUAUUCAAAUAUCAACAUCUUUCUUUGAUGGCCACAAUUAGACAAUUAGAGGCUGAAAUUAGACAACAUAUUAGCUCUAUUUGUUCUAGCACAUGUUUGAAGUGUAUUAGAUGCAACAGCAGAUGUGCAGAACUCACAUCUAGGGAAAAACAAUAUUCAUCAGUUUAACCUCCACAACCUGGCGCUUCCCUGGUCUCGCUUACUGCAUCCCUUAUGAUGGAAAACAAUCAUGCAUGCACCUGCAGCCUUGUUUGUGCAUGCCGGCAUCUAAUCAAAUUAAGACAAACAAACACCCUGCAAGUUCAAGAGAGAUUUCAAAUAAUCCUCAAAUUCUCCAAGCGUCAUUGCUGAAAUGCAUGCAUGCAUGACAAAAACAGCAAAUGAGAUUAUAAUUGGCUUUCAUUAGAGUGAAUGAGGGUGAUGAGAAUCAGUUCAAUCCAAAAUGAGGCUUCAUUUAGGGACACGACUUGCUAUUUGAGAACACAGCGUCCUGUGCCGUCCCAGAGAGUUUCACCAGCAGAACUAAUGUACACGGCAUUAACAUCUGUUCUGCUGCUGCUUUGAUGUUAAUAUUGCUCUGAUGACACCAGGAGUGCAAAGACAAGCAGAGUCAGGCCAUGCAUGACUGACACAUCUCUGGGGCGAUUCAGUGGAAGACCUGCUAGCAGAAGCAGGCAAACAUUAUGAAAGACUUGGCAAUGAAAAGUAGGCCACACAUUCCUCAUCUGAUAGACAACACAUGGCACAGAGCCGAAGUUUAAGACCAGGUUAGCAAAAAAAUGCCAUGGUCAUUGCUUCCACCUGUCUAACUUUACCUGCUGUUUGUGUUUGUCUCAACUAUCUUACAUUUACUUUCAUGAUGUUUUGGUUGCUAUUUACUUUUACCGAUACUGUUGCCAUUCCCCUUUGGUAACACAUUUCAGUGUUCA
rnacentral:lncRNA from 12 species